UUCUGCGAAACUAAGUGCCGGAAAGAUAUGCGUAGCCAAUAUGCGUGCCCAACUGAUCCAGUAAGGGAGUGAGGGCGGAUCUGCCUACGAGGCUUUAAGGGGCGGUCGUCCACAUCUGACUCUGUUUGCACAAGCCACUCGAAAUUAUUUUAUUACUCUUCUGGCCAAAUAUUUGCGUUUCAUGUUAUUGUAUGGUAAUGGGACCCACAGCUCGGCCAUAAGAGCCCAGCAAUUUCUUUGAAUGCUGAAUGGCAUAUUGUCAUUUUGCGGAGAAUCAUUUAGUAAGUAUUGUUUGAUUUAACAAGUAUUGAAAAAAAGGCUGCCGCGCGGUCAAUGAAUCCUAAUUCAAUAGAGCUCAGACUGAGCAACCAUUUGCGUAGCAGAAUGCUAAAACAGGCCCAGAGCUAUUUUGAUAAAUGCUGAUGGAUUUCUGUCGUUCUGACUGGCUCUGCUGACUUUGGGAAGCGAGUCGCGUGUGGGACGACGAGCGAGCACUAUUCAUUGCGGGAGAAACAGCAAAACAAACCGCUUGAAAGACAAUCGACAAUGGCAUACUUUUGCUGCUAUGACUUUUGCUUUGUUUUUGUGCAACUGAACUGUGGUCUAUUUUUAUCGUCAUGCAGUUUAUUUAUAAAAAUGCCAUUCGGUUCCAUUAUCUUAAAAAUAAAAUCACACAAGUUGGCGAACGAGCAGCGAACAGUCAACAACGGCGAAAACAGCCAUAAUGACUGACAAAUAAUCAUGAAAAAUUACCCAGAGGCAGGCAAUGGCAAAUGGAAGCAACAACAGCGAUAGAAACCCAUUUAGAAAAUCCAAAUAAGACAAACAAAACAAUCGAGAAAACACCUUGAAAUUUAAAUUUGAAAAAUAUCUGCGCGGCCGAAUAUGAAGUUGAAUUGUUGUUUUCGAGAACCUCAAUUGCCGCACCAAGCGACAGGGGAAAGGUAUCUGGGAGUAUCAGAUCCUCUCUAAUCUAUAGCUAUCUGAGCUUCCUUGCUUACUCGGUUGCUGAGUAAUUGCAGUUCCCCAAAAGUAGGAAAGGUCUGGAGGAGUACGGAGGUUCAGAAAAUGUGUAAAUAAAUCAAAGCUCUCGGACACACAUGAAGUCGAGGCGCAGUUGUGAUGGAUGCCCUGGCGAGGUGUAACAACUGGUACUAGAACCCUAGCCCAUACAAGUUCUACCUUAAUUUCACAACAAAAUAAAAGUGUUUACAAAAUAAAAACUACAAUGGAGCCACAA